GAAGAAUUAGUUAAUUAUAACAUCAGAAUGUCAAACUGAAAUUAUCAAAAAUUUGAUAUUCUUUU
rnacentral:tRNA from 1 species